AGAUCUUCAUCUGAACAUACUGUAAAUCUUGUGGAAUUGAAGUAUUUAUAUAAUGGAAAUGCUAAGUCACGGCCUGAAGCAGUGAUUGAGCACCUGGUGGAAGGCAGGGCCAACCCAGGGGAGCUCAGGUGCAUGCAGUGUACCUGAGUGACUGGAAGGGUGGAACAGGAUCCAGCCCUUCCCAGACCUCAUUUAAGGGUUGGCAGUGGAGGCGAGAGAAGUUUGCUGGAGAUUCUUGUUGUACCUGGUGUCUUCUGAGGGUCUUCUGAAAGUGAAGAUGGUGGCUGCUGAUGGGACGCACAGCUCUUUUCCUUGCUCCUGUUUCGGAUGCCAACAUGCCUGCUCCUUAUGGAAGGGUGAGUUGGGGCUGCCCUCUGCUCUUGCUCAGAAGGACUUCUCCUUUGAAGGGGAAGAAGCCUCAGAGACCACAUUUGUCUGCAGUCAGCAACAUCUUCUGAAUGAACUAGAAGCUGAUACAUAAAUCUAAUCCACAAGUAACGCGUUCCUCCAAAAUCCCACAUCCUGGACUGUAUCCCACCAGUACUUGUUUUCCUUUCUCUUCCCAGAAUGUUUCCAUGCGCUAUGGAGUCUCAAAGAAAGUAGCAGCAGGAAGCUUAGAUUCCAUUUCCCGCUCUGUAAUGAAGCUGUCUUGCUAGCAGACUUUAUAUGACAGCAUCCUGGUAUUCAUUGUAAUGCUGGGGAGGUAGCAGCAUCCCUUGCUCUUCAAGAAACCAGCACCUACCGAAGAGGACAGGACUGGAGAUGCUGCCAGAAGAGCCACAAAAGCGUGAUGCAAGCUGUAUCCUCUUGCUGGGCUUUGGGAAUUGCUUUCAGCUGGUUUUGUGCCACUCAGGCUGUUCCUGGUUAACAGAAAGCAGGAGGAGUGCCCUUUUGCCCAAGGUCUGAUUUCCCAGGGGCUGCUGAGGUGCUAGCUGAUUUUUAUUAUUUCUUUUUUUCCCCCUUGUUGCUGCACAGCUACCUGCAUUCCAGUGUAAGUGCAUGAGGAUGUCAGCAACAGUCUGUAUGCUGAAGGUGUAUCAGUGUAAUACAUGAGAUGGUUCUUUUUCCCCAUCUCCUCCACCUCUGUGGGCUCCAGGAUGCUGCCUGAGUUCCCCUUUGGACUCCAGAGUCCCAUUGAGAUCGUGUCUGCCAUGUUUAUGUGCCAUUCUAAUGCUGGUUAUUGCAGCGUAAGUGCUUUUUAAUGCACAGCAUUACAGCAGGUGCAUGCUGUACUCUCCCUUACCAAAUGGCUGUCUGGAGGGAUGUAAUUCCAGCUUCUGCCUCAGCACGCCGUUAUUUACAAGUGUGGUUACAUGGCUUGUGCCACCUCUGAGCUUAAUUUAGUUAAUUUGGCACAUGGUGUGAGAGAAUCACCUUUGCAGAAUGAGUGCUGUGAUUCCCAGCUGGCUCAAGGAUCCUGUAACUGCAUCCCAGAGGUGACAGGACUUCAGAAGAGCAUUCAGAGUGCAGUGGUGUCAGUAACAUGAAGUCCCAUCCCUCCUACAUGUAAAAGUAGAGCAGGACACAUGCAAUGUGUGUCUUGGGGUGGCCAGGUCUGUGGUAGCACCUUGGCCAUUGACAGAGUGCUUUGCUGUCUGGCCCCACAAACACUUUUGGCUAUGGAUUUGCAGAUGUAGUUGUAGAAUAAAAUAAAGAUCCAUCUCAUACUGGACUGGUUCCUAUAGCCAUGGACUGUUUCAGUGUGAAAUUCUGCAGGGAGAGAGAGGUCGGCUGGAAGCAAUACACC